rnacentral:rRNA from 1 species
GAUGAACGCUGGCGGCGUGCCUAAUACAUGCAAGUAGAACGCUGAAGCUUGGUGCUUGCACCGAGCGGAUGAGUUGCGAACGGGUGAGUAACGCGUAGGUAACCUGCCUCUUAGCGGGGGAUAACUAUUGGAAACGAUAGCUAAUACCGCAUAAAAGUCGAUAUCGCAUGAUGUUGAUUUGAAAGGUGCAAUUGCAUCACUAAGAGAUGGACCUGCGUUGUAUUAGCUAGUUGGUGAGGUAACGGCUCACCAAGGCGACGAUACAUAGCCGACCUGAGAGGGUGAUCGGCCACACUGGGACUGAGACACGGCCCAGACUCCUACGGGAGGCAGCAGUAGGGAAUCUUCGGCAAUGGGGGCAACCCUGACCGAGCAACGCCGCGUGAGUGAAGAAGGUUUUCGGAUCGUAAAGCUCUGUUGUAAGAGAAGAACGAGUGUGAGAGUGGAAAGUUCACACUGUGACGGAACUACCAGAAAG